rnacentral:rRNA from 1 species
AUGGUUCUCGCUGCCCCAAAAAAUAAGUUGUUCGAGGGUCUCGCGUCCGAUCUUAUUGAGGGGGGUGUAGGGAUUUUGCAAUAUGCAGAUGAUACAGUUAUUUGUUUCUCCCAUGAUGCGGACAAGGCAGUAAAUGUGAAGCUGCUGCUCUAUUUGUUUGAGUUGAUGUCUGGGCUUAAAAUUAACUUUGAUAAAAGUGAGGUUUUUUCGAUCGGUGGGGAUAAUGAUAUCGAUCAAUUUUAUGCUGGGAUGUUUGGGUGCCAGGUUGGCAAGUUUCCUAUGAGAUAUUUGGGAGUCCCAGUGACGUAUGCCAUGCUUAAAACUGUAGACUGGGACUUCCUAGAUGCUAAGCUCCUUAAAAGAUUGGCUGCCUGGAUUAGUUAUAUUGCUUCGUCUGGUGCUAGAUUAACCUUGAUAUACUCUAUCCUAGAUGGGAUUCCUUCUUACUUCAUGUCUAUGUUCCUCCUUAACAAGACGUUUAUCGAGAAGAUGAAUAAACAUCGUAGGCGCUUCUUUUGGAGGAGGAAAAAAGACAAGCGGGCUUAUCACUGGGUUAAGUGGUCCAGAGUUUGUCGCUCGAAGAAUAAAGGGGGAUUGGGUAUUAAGGAUCUCCAUAAACAGAAUAUUAGCCUCCUAGUUAAAUGGUGGUGGAAGUUGGAGUCAGGCGAUGGGCUGUGGCAAAAGAUCGUGCGGGCUCGGUACUUUAAGCACAAAACGGUGGCUAACGUACAUAUCAGAUUUAAUGACUCCCCUUGUUGGAAAGCUAUUAUGAAGGUAAAAGAGGUGUAUAUGGAGGGUAGGGGGAUCCGCAUUAAUAUGGGUGACCUGACUAGGGUCUAG